CGGAUCCGCAUUCAAGUCGCCAAACCCGCGUGACUGUCACAUUCGUUUUGGCGCCGCACAGGAGGAUCAGCUCCGCCUCCGGGCGGCGCCGUAAAUUCUACUGUCAAUCAGCGGAUCCUGAGCGGACCCAUGUCGCAUCCUUGGACGCGCACGCGCCUUUACUUUAAUGGUUGUAUCAAUUUGCGAGUCCCAAACUGACCCGCGCCGCGGAGGUAAGGUUUUAAUCGCGGAUGUGGAGCGGAUGUAGCGCGGAGCCACGGCGGGUCCGAGAUCCGCCUUCGUUGCAGAUCCGUCACUGAGCGCAAGUGGACGCCGAUACGGGUCCGUUCGCGGAUACGUUCCGGAAACCGGGAUACCUCCGCGGCCGAUCCGCCACGGAGUCCUUGCUGUGUGGAUCAUCACAGCAAUAGCAAACCACAACGAUCCAAUUCUGAUGAAUUCCAAUUAAUUCCUGAUGGACAAAAUGAAGUCCGAUCCUGCAUUUUAUUAUAGGCCUAUUUUGACCACUGAAAUGUGAAAUGACCCUGGUUUCCAUUUCAGAAGUCUGGUCACCUUGAAGACCGCAAGAAAUGGAAAUUGCGAUAGUCCCUAUUGGGACGUAUAUCUGAGUGAAACUGCUUCUUGAACAAGAAAAAAAAAAAUGUAUGGUAGGACUUGAAGAAAUUGAUUGGAUCGUUAGAUGCAUGGCUGUGUUUUGUUAUUGUUUUCAUGUGAGUGACAGGAGAAAUUGACAGAAGAAAUUUCGCUGCAAGAAGGAAGUUAUGUUGAUUAAAGAUUACAAGGACAUCCGUGCGUGAGGUGUAACUCUGGCGUAGUUUACGCAAGCGCCGGAAGUGAUCUCUCGUGUAUGCCACUCAUUGUUUACACAGUGCACAAACAUUGUAGGAGUGGUGACUUUCCACGUAUUCCCAACUUCUGAGCCUGCUCGCCUCAAGUUAUGGUUGAUUGCUCUUCGGCUGGAUAUCAACACACCCACUAACGCACUAAAGUUGUUGAGGGUCUGCAGCGAUCAUUUUUCCCCUGAUGAUUUUACAUACCCAGGAGAGGAUCACGUUCGACUUAAACAUCAGCUGUGCCUAUGGUUUUUCCACAUCCAACUGAGGCACCAUGUUUAAACUACGCCAGAGCGCGUACACACCUCACGCACCGGAUGUCGAGUGUGUGUCAAGUUGGACAUAGUGG